rnacentral:rRNA from 1 species
GACGAACGCUGGCGGCGUGCUUAACACAUGCAAGUCGAACGGAAAGGCCCUGCUUUUGUGGGGUGCUCGAGUGGCGAACGGGUGAGUAACACGUGAGUAACCUGCCCUUGACUUUGGGAUAACUUCAGGAAACUGGGGCUAAUACCGGAUAGGAGCUCCUGCUGCAUGGUGGGGGUUGGAAAGUUUCGGCGGUUGGGGAUGGACUCGCGGCUUAUCAGCUUGUUGGUGGGGUAGUGGCUUACCAAGGCUUUGACGGGUAGCCGGCCUGAGAGGGGGACCGGCCACAUUGGGACUGAGAUACGGCCCAGACUACUACGGGAGGCAGCAGUGGGGAAUAUUGCACAAUGGGCGGAAGCCUGAUGCAGCAACGCCGCGUGCGGGAUGACGGCCUUCGGGUUGUAAACCGCUUUCGCCUGUGACGAAGCGUGAGUGACGGUAAUGGGUAAAGAAGCACCGGCUAACUACGUG